UGCGCGGCGGUCUGCUGGCAGACCAGCGUGGCUCUGAACCACGCCCCCGGAGGUUCGAUUCCUCCCUGCGCAGCCA
rnacentral:tRNA from 1 species